UUUAGGCAGAGAAAACAGUGUGUGGGAAGACCCUGGGGAAAGGAGGAACCAGAGGCACAUUUGCAGACCUGAAGGGAAGCAUUGUGGCUGGAGUAUCCUGAGGAGCUGGAGAGGGAACGCAGAAAAAAACAAACACCCCAGCACCCCCUCUGGACAGACACUGCCAUGCAGGUCAACUUGGAAGUGAAUGGUUCCUUUGAGCCCCUUAGAAACAGGAACCUCACUCAACAGGAUGCAUCCCUGAGCCAGGGCUUCUGGCUUAGCAAGAAGAGGUCCGGUUUUCCCGUCAGAUUGGAAGUUACUGUGCAGGCACUCCUGUGCCCCUGCACAAUCUGGCUGGAGUAGAUGAAGAAAAUUCAAAGUCUCUGGGCAUUUUGCAGAAAAAGGAAGAAGCAACCUUCCAGAAGCAGUGACUAAGAAUAAGAACACUAACUCCCUUCCCCCAACUCAACUGUAUGUGAGUGUGAAAGGAAAGGAAUCAUUUUCUGUGGAAUCAGUAUCCUCAGGGAGUAUCCACGCUCCAGUAGAAGGUAAACUUACUUUCACAGACCCAUCGUGAUGAGCAUAUAGGGAUUUUACCCGUGAAAAGUAAUGUGUCUCAUAGGCACAAUGGAGGGGUCUGAGGAUGAGACUGAAUCUUGGGCUUCUUGUCAGGAUUAAAAUAAUUUUGGAUGAAGAGAAUAAUAGGAUUAAUCCUGAUUGCAUCUUGAGAUGAGAAGAAUAAUCAAUUCUAAUUAUUACCUCCUUUCAUCAAGAAUUCUGGGACUUCCUUGGUGGUGCAGUGGUUAAGAAUCCGCCUGCCAAUGCAGGGGACACGGGUUUGAGUCCUGGUCUGGGAAGAUACCACAUGCCACGGAGCAACAAAGCCUGUGCACCUCAAAUACUGAGCCUGUGCUCUAGAACCUGCGAGCCACAACUACUGAGCCCAUGUGCUGCAACUAUUGAAGUCCGUGUGCCGAGAGCCCGUGCUCUGCAACAAGAGAAGCUACCGCAAAGAGAAGACCGUGCACCACAACGAAGAGUAGUCCCCGCUCGUUGCAACUAGAGAAAGCCUGCACGCAGCAACAAAGACCCAAUGCAGCCAUAAACAAACAAACAAACAAACAAAUAAACAGAUAAAUAAAUUUAAAAGAAAAAGAAUUCUGUGGCAUUCUUGAUGAAGUGGAAAUGCUGGUGGAGUGAAAAUAUGGUUGACCCAAAUGGGCUACAUUUGCCCACCUUUGACUGACUUGGCUGAGUUUAGUGUGGAAGCUGCAAGAGGGACUUAAACAGAGAAUUAAGGGUGCACCAGAAUAUGAAUCACUACUAUGCUUAAAGAAAUCUCAUUUAUUCUGAAUAAAUUAAUAUAGAAUUUGUCUUAUUUUGAUCUGAGCUGAACUAGAGCUUACUGUUUUAUGCUAUUUGAAGAUAAGGUUUGCUCAGCAAAUUAUUAAUACAAAUGAUAUUGCAGAUGUUUAACUUACUUAGAAGUACUCUUUCCGUGACAUUUGCACAUAAAUGUGUUAAACUGACAUUAUUAAUUACAAAUGGGUCAUUUAAUGUGUUAUAAAUAUAUAUAUGAGUGCAUUUUCACACAGUAAAAUCCUAUUUAUGAUAAAUACUCUCCCAAUGUGUGUCUCUAUAAAUAUAAAAAUGCAUGUUUAUUCUAGCUGGAAGUGUUUUCAAUUUUGUCUCAACAACAGAAAUCUUAAUUUUAUGCCCAGUUUUACAAUCACAGAUAGCUAGUAGCAUCUAGUCCUGCUUCCUUUCUUACUUAAUUCUAAUGAACCCCUAAAUCUUUAAUUUAGUAAUGGCCUAUUAACCUAUAAGUUACCUCCAGACCUCUUCAAAGAAGUAUGCAGUUUGGAGUAGUAUCAAAAAACCCUACAAUGGAAAUUAGCCCUGAUUCUGCUAUUAACUAACUAUCAAACCUCCAUGAAAUCACUUUACUUCAUAAAACAUCAGUUACUUUCAGAGAUUGAACCAGACGAGCUUUUGAAGUUCCUGUCAACUCUGAAGUCCAUGACCAUUAUUAAGUCUUAAAUUAACAAUGACCCAACUUUGCAAAUGUGGCAUGUAGAGAAAGUCGCCCUAAAUUUAAUAAUUGAAAUUCAUAAGCAUCCAUUUAUUUAAUAUCAUGUCAAUAAUGCUUACUAAAAAGUGGAUGAUACAGAAAGACCAUACCAUAUUCUAUAUCAAACAGAACUUUUAAAAUAACAUUUUUCUAGAGAUUGUCAUACUAAGUGAAGUAAGUUAGAGAAAGACAAAUAUCAUACGGUAUCACUUAUAUGUGGAAUCUAAAAUAAUGAUACAAAUGAACUUAUUUACAAAACAGAAAUAGACUCACAGACAUAGAAAACAAACUUAAGGUUACCAAAAUGUAAAGUGGGGGGAGGGAUAAACUGGGAAUUUGGGAUUAACAGAUACAGACUACCGUGUAUAAAACAGCUAAACAACAAGGACCUGCUGUAUACCACAGGGAACUAUAUUCGACAUCUUGUAAUAACCUAUAAUGGAAAAGAAUCUGAAAAAUUAUAUAUAACUGAAUCACUUUGCUGUAUACCUAAAAAACUGUAAAUCAACUACAUUUCCAUAAAAAAAUAACAUCUUUCUAAUUGAAAAAUAAAGGCAUAUUGGCUAUUGAAAAGUUGCAAAAUAAAACUAAAGACAACAAAAAUUUCACUACCAAUCCACACAAUCAUUAUUUUUUAUAUACAUGCUUCUUUUCUCCUUUCUAUGAGUACAUAUUAAUAAACUAUUAUGCAAAUGAACAUACAGAUUUAUAAAUUAUUUUAUUUCCCUCAUAAUUGUGUCAGUAAAAGUAUGUAUUUCUAAAAGAUAAUUUUAACUUUCACCUCUAGUCUUGAUGGAGUAACUGUUACCAGAUUUGCCUGCUAGGAAAUGAUUGGAAAACUGGACUAAAUAUUCUAAAAAAUUAAUAAACAGAAACCUCAGUUAAAUAGAGUUGGGAGACCAGAAGGGGAAGCUCUCACACCCUGUGACAAGAGCAGAGCCCAACAGGAAGAAGGAAGACUUCUUACUUGCAAGGACUCAGCCAAUGAAAAGCCAUGGACUACUUGUUUACUAUAGCCCUCCCGACUUCCUUUUUCUCUCUACAAAAGCAAUCUCCUUAACCUUGUCACGUGGGGGCUUGCAGGUGGCUUACCAUGUUUUCAGAUCCCAAAUUGCAAUUCUCUGCUGAUCCCGAAUAAACCAAUCUUUGCUGCAAAAA